AUUGAACGCUGGCGGCAGGCCUAACACAUGCAAGUCGAGCGGAUGAAGGGAGCUUGCUCCUGGAUUCAGCGGCGGACGGGUGAGUAAUGCCUAGGAAUCUGCCUGGUAGUGGGGGAUAACGUCCGGAAACGGGCGCUAAUACCGCAUACGUCCUGAGGGAGAAAGUGGGGGAUCUUCGGACCUCACGCUAUCAGAUGAGCCUAGGUCGGAUUAGCUAGUUGGUGGGGUAAAGGCCUACCAAGGCGACGAUCCGUAACUGGUCUGAGAGGAUGAUCAGUCAAACUGGAACUUGGACACGGUCCCGACUCCCUAGGGAGGCAGCAGUUGGGAAUAUUGGACAAUUGGCCAAAGGCUGAUCCCGGCCAGCCGCGGGGUGUAAGAAGGGUCUCCGGUUGUAAAACCCCUUUAGUUUGGAAGAAAGGCAGUAAGUUUAAACCUUGCCUUUUUGACGUUACCAACAGAAUAAGCACCGGCUAACUUCGUG
rnacentral:rRNA from 1 species